CCAAAAUUUAAUUUUGCAAGAAAGUUAUAACAAAAUGGAUAUUCAAAAUGUUAAUAGAUAUGUUAGUGUACCCUACAGCAGGAUGAAGAUUGAAGUAAUUAAUAAUAUAAAAAAGAAUUUGAAUGUCAAAUUAACACUUGAGAGAUGGUACUAUUUUUAAUAGUCCUAGGAAUGGAAAAAGCAGUACAAUUAUGCCCAACAUCCCAGAGACUCUUCCUCCUCCCUGCCAUCAUUCCUAUAUACAAUAGAAUUGCUGGCAGGGAGGAGGAAGAGUAUGUUGGGAUUACCAUUAGAAAUUUAAGAGAGAGGCUGAGGGAGCAUUCACAUUACAUUAAAAAUGAGUCUUUUUUUACAACCUUAAAUAAACA
rnacentral:lncRNA from 1 species